rnacentral:ncRNA from 1 species
UUAGUGGCUUUAUACCGAGAGGUAUAUCGAAUAACCUCGUGAACGCAAGCAAAAGCGGUGUGGUAGCUAUUAGUUACUGCUAACAGGGAAACUCUUUAAAUAAAGACAAUCCUGUGCUAAGCCUAUUUUUAUAGGAAAGUGCAACGACUAUCCCGAAAGGGAGUACAACGGAGAUUAGCACCGUUGGAAGUGCGAGGGACGUUAUUUAAUAACGUUGUGAUAUAGUCUGAUCUCUAUAGUGAUAUAGAG